rnacentral:rRNA from 1 species
UACGUAGGGUGCGAGCGUUGUCCGGAUUUAUUGGGCGUAAAGGGCUCGUAGGCGGUUUGUCGCGUCUGCUGUGAAAACCUAAGGCUCAACCUUGGGCUUGCAGUGGGUACGGGCAGACUAGAGUGUGGUAGGGGAGACUGGAAUUCCUGGUGUAGCGGUGAAAUGCGCAGAUAUCAGGAGGAACACCGAUGGCGAAGGCAGGUCUCUGGGCCAUUACUGACACUGAGAAGCGAAAGCAUGGGGAGCGAACAGG